CAGUCGCCGCGGUAAUACGAAGGGUGCAAGCGUUACUCGGAAUUACUGGGCGUAAAGCGUGCGUAGGUGGUGGUUUAAGUCCGUUGUGAAAGCCCUGGGCUCAACCUGGGAAUUGCAGUGGAUACUGGGUCACUAGAGUGUGGUAGAGGAUAGUGGAAUUUCCGGUGUAGUAGUGAAAUGCGUAGAGAUCGGAAGGAACAUCUGUGGCGAAGGCGACUAUCUGGGCCAACACUGACACUGAGGCACGAAAGCGUGGGGAGCAAACAGGAUUAGAUACCCGGGUAGUCCCUGUCUCUUAUAC
rnacentral:rRNA from 1 species